GACGAACGCUGGCGGCGUGCUUAACACAUGCAAGUCGAACGGAAAGGCCCUGCUUUUGUGGGGUGCUCGAGUGGCGAACGGGUGAGUAACACGUGAGUAACCUGCCCUUGACUUUGGGAUAACUUCAGGAAACUGGGGCUAAUACCGGAUAGGAGCUCCUGCUGCAUGGUGGGGGUUGGAAAGUUUCGGCGGUUGGGGAUGGACUCGCGGCUUAUCAGCUUGUUGGUGGGGUAGUGGCUUACCAAGGCUUUGACGGGUAGCCGGCCUGAGAGGGUGACCGGCCACAUUGGGACUGAGAUACGGCCCAGAGUAGUACGGGAGGCAGCAGUGGGGAAUAUUGCACAAUGGGCGGAAGCCGGAUGCAGCAACGCCGCGUGCGGGAUGACGGCCUUCGGGUUGUAAACCGCUUUCGCCUGUGACGAAGCGUGAGUGACGGUAAUGGGUAAAGAAGCACCGGCUAACUACGUG
rnacentral:rRNA from 1 species